GCAGGAAAAGCCGAAAACCUGUAAAAGAGAGUAGGCA
rfam:Chryseobacterium molle strain DSM 18016 genome assembly, contig: Ga0131196_106